rnacentral:lncRNA from 1 species
GGAUCGAUUGUUAGAGUUCUAUUGGUUUGCAUUCUAGAUCUCAUCGAGAUGGCCCUUGAUGUCUCAAACUUUUCACUCAAGAUUCACUUCCCAAUAGGACCUUCCAGGCCAUAGGGAAUAAUCUAGAGUCGAAUCUUCAUUAGAGAAAAAGGGGGUCACCGCUGUCGGUCUUCCUUAGGCUUUGAUGGGAAGGCAACCAGUCGGGAGUGGAAGCAAGAGCGGGAGCAGAGUGGAGGGUUUGUGAGGGGCUGAUUAUGGGCUCUUGGGGCA